AGAAGGGCCUAGGGGUGCCGGAAGGCUGAGAGGCGGACAUCCGCCAACCCUGUGGACUCGAUCUGGGUAAUACCAGCGUGAGGAAGUGCCCGUCAUCGUCC
rnacentral:ncRNA from 2 species